rfam:Loxodonta africana unplaced genomic scaffold scaffold_5, whole genome shotgun sequence.
GCAGUGAUGGUUAAGUGGUAGAAUUCUCACCUUCCAUGCCAGAGACCCAGGUUUGAUUCCUGGCCAGUGCA